rnacentral:rRNA from 1 species
GACGAACCGUGCGAACGUUGUUCGGAUUCACUGGGCUUAAAGGGCGCGUAGGCGGUACGCCAAGUCUGGGGUGAAAUCUUUCGGCUCAACCGGAAAAUGGCCUGGGAUACUGGCGUGCUCGAGGGAGGUAGGGGCAGCGGGAACUGCCAGUGGAGCGGUGAAAUGCGUUGAUAUUGGCAGGAACGCCGGUGGCGAAAGCGCGUUGCUGGACCUCUUCUGACGCUGAUGCGCGAAAGCUAGGGGAGCAAACGGG